rnacentral:rRNA from 1 species
GACGAACGCUGGCGGCGUGCUUAACACAUGCAAGUCGAGCGGUAAGGCCCUUUCGGGGGUACGACGAGCGGCGAACGGGUGAGUAACACGUGGGUGACCUGCCCUCAGCUCUGGGAUAAGCCUGGGAAACCGGGUCUAAUACCGGAUAUGACUCCAUGACGCAUGUUGUGGGGUGGAAAGCCUUGUGCGGCUGAGGAUGGGCCCGCGGCCUAUCAGCUUGUUGGUGGGGUGAUGGCCUACCAAGGCGACGACGGGUAGCCGGCCUGAGAGGGCGACCGGCCACACUGGGACUGAGACACGGCCCAGACUCCUACGGGAGGCAGCAGGUGGGGAAUCUUGCGCAAUGGGCGAAAGCCUGACGCAGCGACG